rnacentral:rRNA from 1 species
UGCCUGCCCGGUGAUUAUUAAAAUUAAACGGCUGCGGUACUCUGACCGUGCAAAGGUAGCAUAAUCAUUAGCCUGUUAAUUUCAGGCUGGAAUCAAUGGCAAGACGAGGGAAAGACUGUCUCUUUCUAUUGUUUUAGAAAUUUUCUUUUUGGUGAAGAGGCCAAAAUGAGAAAGUGGGACGAGAAGACCCUAUUGAGUUUUAGUCAUUUAAUAAAAAGAUAAUUUUUUUUUGAUGACUUUGGUUGGGGCAACUAUUUAUUAAAUUAAACAUUUAUAAAAAAAAGGUGAAUUAAAUCUUAAAUAAAAUAAACCCAGAAAUUUGUUUUGGAAUUAAAAAAAAUUACCUUAGGGAUAACAGCGUAAUUCUUUUUGAGAGUACAUAUUGACAGAAGAGUUUGCGACCUCGAUGUUGGAUCAAGUUUUCCUGAAGGUGCAGCAGCUUUCAAUGGUUGGUUUGUUCAACCAUAAAAAUCUU